UACGUAGGGUCCGAGCGUUGUCCGGAAUUAUUGGGCGUAAAGGGCUCGUAGGCGGUUCGUCACGUCGGGAGUGAAAACUCGGGGCUUAACCCCGAGCCUGCUUCCGAUACGGGCAGACUAGAGGUAUGCAGGGGAGAACGGAAUUCCUGGUGUAGCGGUGAAAUGCGCAGAUAUCAGGAGGAACACCGGUGGCGAAGGCGGUUCUCUGGGCAUUACCUGACGCUGAGGAGCGAAAGUGUGGGGAGCGAAACAGG
rnacentral:rRNA from 1 species